UCGGCCCCGGUUCACGCCACCGCACCCUGCGGCAGCGACCCGGCGCC
rfam:Streptomyces sp. NRRL WC-3618 P435contig53.1, whole genome shotgun sequence.